rnacentral:rRNA from 1 species
GAUGAACGCUGGCGGCGUGCCUAAUACAUGCAAGUCGAGCGAAUGGAUUAAGAGCUUGCUCUUAUGAAGUUAGCGGCGGACGGGUGGGUAACACGUGGGUAACCUGCCCAUAAGACUGGGAUAACUCCGGGAAACCGGGGCUAAUACCGGAUAACAUUUUGAACCGCAUGGUUCGAAAUUGAAAGGCGGCUUCGGCUGUCACUUAUGGAUGGACCCGCGUCGCAUUAGCUAGUUGGUGAGGUAACGGCUCACCAAGGCAACGAUGCGUAGCCGACCUGAGAGGGUGAUCGGCCACACUGGGACUAAGACACGGCCCAGACUCCUACGGGAGGCAGCAGUAGGGAAUCUUCCGCAAUGGACGAAAGUCUGACGGAGCAACGCCGCGUGAGUGAUGAAGGCUUUCGGGUCGUAAAACUCUGUUGUUAGGGAAGAACAAGUGCUAGUUGAAUAAGCUGGCACCUUGACGGUACCUAACCAGAAAGCCACGGCUAACUACGUGCCAGCAGCCGCGGUAA